UACGUAGGGUGCGAGCGUUAAUCGGAAUUACUGGGCGUAAAGCGUGCGCAGGCGGGCUUUUAAGCCAGACGUGAAAUCCCCGGGCUUAACCUGGGAAUGGCGUUUGGGACUGGAAGUCUGGAGUGCGGCAGAGGAGACUGGAAUUCCUGGUGUAGCAGUGAAAUGACGUAGAUAUCAGGAGGAACACCGAUGGCGAAGGCAGGUCUCUGGGCUGACACUGACGCUCAUGCACGAAAGCGUGGGGAGCGAAACAA
rnacentral:rRNA from 1 species